AAAACUCUAAGCGGUGGAUCACUCGGCUCAUGGGUCGAUGAAGAACGCAGCAAACUGUGCGUCAUCGUGUGAACUGCAGGACACAUGAACAUCGACAUUUUGAACGCAUAUCGCAGUCCAUGCUGUUAUGUACUUUAAUUAAUUUUAUAGUGCUGCUUGGACUACAUUUGGUUGAGGUUUGUAAGACUAUGCUAAUUAAGUUGCUUAUAAAUUUUUAUAAGCAUAUGGUAUAUUAUUGGAUAAAUAUAAUAAUUUUUAUUCAUAAUAUUAAAAAAUAAAUGAAAAACAUUAUCUCACAUUUGAAUGUGAAAAACGAAGAGAAAUAUUUUCUUUUUCAAUCAAAUAAUACUGAGAAAUGUCUAGCAUAAAAAAUUGAAAUAUUUUUCAUCUAGAAUUGUCUCUUAUUAAUGAUUCGGAAAUAGAAAAAUCUUGGUUAUGUUAUUAUUCUUCGUUGGUUCGUUAAAAAUGGAUAAAUAAAAACUUUGCAUACAAGAAUUAAUAAAAAUGUUAUAACGAAUUUAAUUAAAUGUUUUAUCAUUAUAUAUAAAGAAUUUAUGGCAAGAUAAAGUUAUAUACAACCUCAACUCAUAUGGGACUACCCCCUGAAUUUAAGUAUAUUAAUUAGGGGAGGAAAAGAAACUAACAAGGAUUUUCUUAGUAGCGGCGAGCGAAAAGAAAACAGUUCAGCACUAAGUCACUUUGUCUAUAUGGCAUAUGUGAGAUGCAGUGUAUGGAGCGUCAAUAUUCUAGUAUGAGAAAUUAACGAUUUAAGUCCUUCUUAAAUGAGGCCAUUUACCCAUAGAGGGUGCCAGGCCCGUAUAACGUUAAUGAUUACUAGAUGAUGUUUCCAAAGAGUCGUGUUGCUUGAUAGUGCAGCACUAAGUGGGUGGUAAACUCCAUCUAAAACUAAAUAUAACCAUGAGACCGAUAGUAAACAAGUACCGUGAGGGAAAGUUGAAAAGAACUCUGAAUAGAGAGUUAAACAGUACGUGAAACUGCUUAGAGGUUAAGCCCGAUGAACCUGAAUAUCCGUUAUGGAAAAUUCAUCAUUAAAAUUGUAAUAUUUAAAUAAUAUUAUGAGAAUAGUGUGCAUUUUUUCCAUAUAAGGACAUUGUAAUCUAUUAGCAUAUACCAAAUUUAUCAUAAAAUAUAACUUAUAGUUUAUUCCAAUUAAAUUGCUUGCAUUUUAACACAGAAUAAAUGUUAUUAAUUUGAUAAAGUGCUGAUAGAUUUAUAUGAUUACAGUGCGUUAAUUUUUCGGAAUUAUAUAAUGGCAUAAUUAUCAUUGAUUUUUGUGUUUAUUAUAUGCACUUGUAUGAUUAACAAUGCGAAAGAUUCAGGAUACCUUCGGGACCCGUCUUGAAACACGGACCAAGGAGUCUAACAUAUGUGCAAGUUAUUGGGAUAUAAACCUAAUAGCGUAAUUAACUUGACUAAUAAUGGGAUUAGUUUUUUAGCUAUUUAUAGCUAAUUAACACAAUCCCGGGGCGUUCUAUAUAGUUAUGUAUAAUGUAUAUUUAUAUUAUUUAUGCCUCUAACUGGAACGUACCUUGAGCAUAUAUGCUGUGACCCGAAAGAUGGUGAACUAUACUUGAUCAGGUUGAAGUCAGGGGAAACCCUGAUGGAAGACCGAAACAGUUCUGACGUGCAAAUCGAUUGUCAGAAUUGAGUAUAGGGGCGAAAGACCAAUCGAACCAUCUAGUAGCUGGUUCCUUCCGAAGUUUCCCUCAGGAUAGCUGGUGCAUUUUAAUAUUAUAUAAAAUAAUCUUAUCUGGUAAAGCGAAUGAUUAGAGGCCUUAGGGUCGAAACGAUCUUAACCUAUUCUCAAACUUUAAAUGGGUAAGAACCUUAACUUUCUUGAUAUGAAGUUCAAGGUUAUGAUAUAAUGUGCCCAGUGGGCCACUUUUGGUAAGCAGAACUGGCGCUGUGGGAUGAACCAAACGUAAUGUUACGGUGCCCAAAUUAACAACUCAUGCAGAUACCAUGAAAGGCGUUGGUUGCUUAAAACAGCAGGACGGUGAUCAUGGAAGUCGAAAUCCGCUAAGGAGUGUGUAACAACUCACCUGCCGAAGCAACUAGCCCUUAAAAUGGAUGGCGCUUAAGUUGUAUACCUAUACAUUACCGCUAAAGUAGAUGAUUUAUAUUACUUGUGAUAUAAAUUUUGAAACUUUAGUGAGUAGGAAGGUACAAUGGUAUGCGUAGAAGUGUUUGGCGUAAGCCUGCAUGGAGCUGCCAUUGGUACAGAUCUUGGUGGUAGUAGCAAAUAAUCGAAUGAGACCUUGGAGGACUGAAGUGGAGAAGGGUUUCGUGUGAACAGUGGUUGAUCACGAGUUAGUCGGUCCUAAGUUCAAGGCGAAAGCCGAAAAUUUUCAAGUAAAACAAAAAUGCCUAACUAUAUAAACAAAGCGAAUUAUAAUACACUUGAAUAAUUUUGAACGAAAGGGAAUACGGUUCCAAUUCCGUAACCUGUUGAGUAUCCGUUUGUUAUUAAAUAUGGGCCUCGUGCUCAUCCUGGCAACAGGAACGACCAUAAAGAAGCCGUCGAGAGAUAUCGGAAGAGUUUUCUUUUCUGUUUUAUAGCCGUACUACCAUGGAAGUCUUUCGCAGAGAGAUAUGGUAGAUGGGCUAGAAGAGCAUGACAUAUACUGUUGUGUCGAUAUUUUCUCCUCGGACCUUGAAAAUUUAUGGUGGGGACACGCAAACUUCUCAACAGGCCGUACCAAUAUCCGCAGCUGGUCUCCAAGGUGAAGAGUCUCUAGUCGAUAGAAUAAUGUAGGUAAGGGAAGUCGGCAAAUUAGAUCCGUAACUUCGGGAUAAGGAUUGGCUCUGAAGAUUGAGAUAGUCGGGCUUGAUUGGGAAACAAUAACAUGGUUUAUGUGCUCGUUCUGGGUAAAUAGAGUUUCUAGCAUUUAUGUUAGUUACUUGUUCCCCGGAUAGUUUAGUUACGUAGCCAAUUGUGGAACUUUCUUGCUAAAAUUUUUAAGAAUACUAUUUGGGUUAAACCAAUUAGUUCUUAUUAAUUAUAACGAUUAUCAAUUAACAAUCAAUUCAGAACUGGCACGGACUUGGGGAAUCCGACUGUCUAAUUAAAACAAAGCAUUGUGAUGGCCCUAGCGGGUGUUGACACAAUGUGAUUUCUGCCCAGUGCUCUGAAUGUCAAAGUGAAGAAAUUCAAGUAAGCGCGGGUCAACGGCGGGAGUAACUAUGACUCUCUUCGCCCUUCGGACUGUCCUUAUCCCACAGCUCUACCACAAGUUAGCCCUUGGGAGUGUGGCGAUAGGCGUCCUAAGAAAAACUGAUAAACUUAUAAGAUAUUAUGUGCGAAGAUGGCUAAAUCUUCCGCUGGAUGUGCCGAUAGCAUUUGUUCAUGCACCCCCAAAAAGUGGAGGUCUCGGAAUUCCAUCACUAAGAUGGGUAGCUCCAAUGUUAAGGCUAAGACGCUUGAGUAACAUUAAAUGGCCUCACCUCACGCAAAACGAGGUAGCCAGCUCUUUCCUCGAAGCCGAAAAACAACGGGCCCGAGAUAGAUUAUUAGCUGAACAAAAUGAACUGUUAUCGCGUCCGGCAAUAGAAAAAUAUUGGGCGAACAAGUUGUACCUCUCAGUUGAUGGUAGCGGACUCCGUGAAGCGGGCCAUUAUGGCCCGCAACACGGGUGGGUUAGUCAACCCACGCGUUUAUUAACAGGAAAGGAAUAUAUAGACGGUAUUCGUCUGCGGAUAAAUGCCCUACCCACAAAGUCUCGUACUACAAGGGGAAGGCACGAAUUGGAACGACAGUGUCGUGCAGGAUGUGAUGCUCCCGAAACAACAAACCACAUAAUGCAAAAAUG
rnacentral:rRNA from 1 species